GUGCGGCGUACUAAUACAUGCAAGUCGAGCGAAUGGAUUAAGAGCUUGCUCUUAUGAAGUUAGCGGCGGACGGGUGAGUAACACGUGGGUAACCUGCCCAUAAGACUGGGAUAACUCCGGGAAACCGGGGCUAAUACCGGAUAACAUUUUGAACUGCAUGGUUCGAAAUUGAAAGGCGGCUUCGGCUGUCACUUAUGGAUGGACCCGCGUCGCAUUAGCUAGUUGGUGAGGUAACGGCUCACCAAGGCAACGAUGCGUAGCCGACCUGAGAGGGUGAUCGGCCACACUGGGACUGAGACACGGCCCAGACUCCUACGGGAGGCAGCAGUAGGGAAUCUUCCGCAAUGGACGAAAGUCUGACGGAGCAACGCCGCGUGAGUGAUGAAGGCUUUCGGGUCGUAAAACUCUGUUGUUAGGGAAGAACAAGUGCUAGUUGAAUAAGCUGGCACCUUGACGGUACCUAACCAGAAAGCCACGGCUAACUACGUGCCAGCAGCCGCGGUAAUACGUAGGUGGCAAGCGUUAUCCGGAAUUAUUGGGCGUAAAGCGCGCGCAGGUGGUUUCUUAAGUCUGAUGUGAAAGCCCACGGCUCAACCGUGGAGGGUCAUUGGAAACUGGGAGACUUGAGUGCAGAAGAGGAAAGUGGAAUUCCAUGUGUAGCGGUGAAAUGCGUAGAGAUAUGGAGGAACACCAGUGGCGAAGGCGACUUUCUGGUCUGUAACUGACACUGAGGCGCGAAAGCGUGGGGAGCAAACAGGAUUAGAAC
rnacentral:rRNA from 1 species